rnacentral:rRNA from 1 species
CGCAUCUGUGCAUGCAGCAUAUCAAUAAGCGGAGGAAAAGAAACUAACAAGGAUUCCCCUAGUAACGGCGAGUGAAGCGGGAAGAGCUCAAAUUUGAAAUCUUAAAGGGUUUCCCUUUACGAAUUGUAGUUUAAAGAAGUGUUUUCUGUUGAGGUUUUGGUAAAAGUUCUUUGGAAUAGGACAUCAUAGAGGGUGAGAAUCCCGUAUUUGACCUUUACUUUCAACUUUGUGAUACACUUUCAAAGAGUCGGAUUGUUUGGGAAUGCAGUCCAAAAUGGGUGGUAAAUUUCAUCUAAAGCUAAAUAUUGGCGAGAGACCGAUAGCGAACAAGUACCGUGAGGGAAAGAUGAAAAGAACUUUGAAAAGAGAGUUAAACAGUACGUGAAAUUGUCAAAAGGGGAGCGUUUGACACCAGUGUUGUUUUUCUGAAAAUCAAUUAAAGAACUGUUUAUGCUAAGCUGUUUAGACUUUAUCAGCUAUCUGUUUAGUUUUGAGCUUUUCUUUAAUGCACUUUUCAGUUAACAAGUCAACAUCAAUUUCUUUUGCUGUAAAAAAGCUUGAGGAAGGUGGCUUGAGAUUCGUCUUAAGUGUUUAUAGCCUCUUGCCUAUGCAGUCGGAGAGAUUGAGGUCUGCAGCGUAGAUCCUUCGGGGCUAAAUGCAUUUGUGCUAAGUUAUAGCAUUUUAUAGACAACUUGUUGACUAUGAUUUGUCUUGUAGCUUACUCGCUUAUGUUAUUUUACCUACGCUUAGGAUGUUGAAGAUAUGCGCGACACGACUCUAUACAUGACUCUGCGCAUAUCAAUAAGCGGAGGAAAAGGAAACUAACUAGGAUUCCCUUAGUAAUGACGAGUGAAGCGGGAAGAUCUUACUCACUUGCGCUAUUUUACCUACGCUUAGGAUGUUGAGUCGUAGAGCACGCA